AUAUAUACAAACCGUAAUGCAAAGAUGUAGAAUGACUUUCAAAAUGUUCGUAAUGAUCGUCAAGUGGUAUAGAACAUGAAUGCCUGUAACUGUGGUAAUUCUGAUAGAAUGUAAGUGAUGACAAGUACCGUUAAGAAAUACCAACCUUGAUGCUUGGCUUGUUGGCCAUGUUCAUUUGAACAAGACACUGUAGAAAAGAUACGCAUGGCAUAAAUAACGAUAGUAACCAUGGAAAUAAUGCUUAAUUUUUUGUGUUAAGUAUGGAUAAGAGAGUUUAAGAAGGGUGAUUUUGAUUGUAACAAUAAGUCUUUAAAUGAUUAUAAUAUGCGUAUGAUAAUAUAUCGACCCCUCCUAUGAGCUUAAGGAUAAUCGGAAGUAACGAUAGUAAUGGAAUGUUUAGGAUGGCUCAUAGUGAACAAAAUGAAAGAUAGCAUAUGAUGUAUGAGUAGAAUGAAAUAAAUCGACUUAUUUCAAUUAGUAAAUAUACAAAUGUAAUAUGCUUAAAUAGGAUGUUAGAAACAAGCCAUAGACUUAGUAUGUAUGGUUAAUAACUGCAUACAAUUGGAAUAAAUUCGAUGAAUAAAAUGCUAGGGAUAAUAUGUGCUAGAAACUAGCAAUAUGAAGUGAAAGACACUAAUAAGAGCUCUGGAGCAGAAUCUAACAUAAGUAUUGUGAAUGAACAACUUGAAAGGGGUAAGAGUAGAAUUGGUUUAAUUUUAAAUGAAAAAGGUUUCGGGGACGAAACCUUAUUUAAGGGGGGUAGACUUGUAACACCCCAAAACCCGAAUGUUUAUAUUUGUCGUAUGUCCAUAUAAGACACAUCAUGAAAUAAAUAACUAGGCUAAUUAACCUAGUUAAGUAUAUGGCAAAACUAUUAAAUGGAGAGAGUUGUGCCAAAUGUGUUCUAAGUGCCAACAUGAGGGACUAAUUGAAGUAAAAUGGAAGUUGAGUUAUUAAAAUGAAAAAUAAACACACACAAACACACAAUUCGUGUGUGUUCUCGAACGUACAGGGGCUUCAAGAAGCCAAGCCCUAGUUCUUCAAAAAGCUUCAAAUUAAGGGAUGAUUCAAGGCUCAAAUUCGUGAAUUCUCAUGGAUUAAUGAUCACCAUCACAAGGGGAUCAUAAGGAACGUGUCAAGGAGAGCUCAAGCAUAGGAGGAUAACGGGUCAAGAUAAGGCAAGGUCACAAAUACACUUAUUGGAGCACUCAAGGGAUGAGAACGUCAGACUCUUGUAGAAUUGAAGCCGAACCUGGAAGCCGAACUCGAAACAAAGGAAUCCGAGAGGAUAGUCGAAUGAAUUAAAGUUUAUGUUGUUGAAUGUUAUAUGAUUUUUAAUUGUACCAGAUUAUUGUUGUAUGUUUUUGUCAAUGACUAAUGGUUAAGUUGUAUGUGAU